GGGGAUUUAGCUCAGCGGCAUAAGUGCUUGCCUGGCAAGCAGGAGGUCCUGAGUUCAGUCCCCAAUUCUCCA
rfam:Cavia porcellus supercont2_16 genomic scaffold, whole genome shotgun sequence.